AUAGCUCAGUUGGUUUAGAGCAUCCGGCUGUUUCGCUGGAGGGGCCUUGGUUCGAAUCCAAGUGUUCCCA
rnacentral:tRNA from 2 species